rnacentral:rRNA from 1 species
AGCGAACGCUGGCGGCAGGCCUAACACAUGCAAGUCGAACGAACUCUUCGGAGUUAGUGGCGGACGGGUGAGUAACACGUGGGAACGUGCCUUUUGGUUCGGAAUAACUCAGGGAAACUUGUGCUAAUACCGAAUGUGCCCUUCGGGGGAAAGAUUUAUCGCCAUUAGAGCGGCCCGCGUCUGAUUAGCUAGUUGGUGAGGUAACGGCUCACCAAGGCGACGAUCAGUAGCUGGUCUGAGAGGAUGACCCGCCACACUUGGACUGAGACACGGCCCAGACUCCUACGGGAGGCAGCAGUGGGUAAUCUUGCGCAAUGGGCGAAAGCCUGACGCAGCCAUGCCGCGUGAAUGAUGAAGGUCUUAGGAUUGUAAAAUUCUUUCACCGGGGACGAUAAUGACGGUACCCGGAGAAGAAGCCCCGGCUAACUUUGUG